CACCUGAACUUUGUGUUUCCAAAUUCUUUUGGCCUAUGCCUAAGUUCCCUCCUUUUAAGGGAUUUGAUCAUCCUUUCCCUUUACCUCCACCUUUGGAGCUUCCACCGUUUCCUAAACCAUGCCCACCACCUCCGGUUCCGGUGUACGAGCCACCCCCAAAGGUGGAACUUCCACCACCUGUCCCGGUUCACGAGCCACCCCCAAAGGUAGAGGUUCCACCACCCGUCCCGGUUCACGACCCACCGCCAAAGGUGGAGCACCCACCUCCGGUUCCGGUUUACAAGCCACCUCCAAAGGUAGAGCACCCACCUCCAGUUCCGGUUUACAAGCCGCCUCCAAAGGUAGAGCACCCACCUCCGGUUCCGGUUUACAAGCCACCUCCAAAGGUAGAGCACCCACCUCCGGUUCCAGUACACAAGCCACCAACAAUCCCUAAGAAGCCAUGCCCGCCUAAGUCGCCGAAGAUUGAGCUUCCACCGCCAGUGCCAGUUCACAAACCACCGACUAAGAAGCCUUGUCCGCCCAUGCCACCAAAGAAAGUUGAUCCGCCACCGGUUCCAGUCCACAAGCCGCCGCCGAAAAUAGUCCUUCCACCGCCGGUACCAAUCCACAAGCCGC
rnacentral:lncRNA from 1 species